rnacentral:lncRNA from 1 species
AAAGAUCUUUAAUUUGAUAUAAAAAUUAUAAAAAUUAAAUUUGAGAUUAUUAAGUUAUGAUCGAUUAAAAUAUUAAAAUUAAUUUUUGUUCGCUCUCAUUUAUCUAUAAUGUUGAAUAUCGUACUCUAUUUUCAUUGUAUUUUCGUUUAUUGGCGACAAACAUAAGCAUAUGUCAUUUUUUUCCUUAUAAAAAAGUUUACAUGAUUUUUAAUUAUAAUUGUUUAAACUACAGUCAUUUUUAAUGCAAUUAAGGGAGGAUGAAAUUUGUAUUAAUUUUAAUAUGAAUUUGUAAAUAAAAUAUUAUAAUAUUAAAUGACGACUGUUAAUUUAGUUAUAUUGAUGUUUUAGUGUAAUCGUAGCCCGUGUAUCCGUGCGAUGCACGGGAGAGCGUACUAGUUAAUACUAAAUGACACUAACACUAACACUAUUUUUAACACUAAUACUUAAUGAUACUAUCACUAUAUCAAAAUGACAUUAAUAUCCCGGGUGUACCGUACACCCGAGUGUACAGGAGAUUUUGUGAUUUUGGAAUUGCACAUCACCUAUUAAGCUCUAUAAUACAUCACAUUUCAUUAUUUUCUGAUUUGUCCCACGAUAACUAAAAUCUCCAAUCGUAAAAGUGACAUGGCGACCGGAAUAGCCACGUAGACACGUCGGACUAUUGAUCCAAACACACGUUUGGAAUCACACCAAAGUAAAAAUGAGGAAGGAUUAUUGAUCCUUCAAAACAAGCACAAACAAAACAAUUCAACACAAACACAAGCAAAAGAAUUCAGAUUAAUCGGAAAAAAGAAAAAAGAGUUUCAAAUGCUCAAACACUAACAUAACAGUUGAAGAAGCAGCUAAGUAGGUAAGACUUUCCCCUCCAACCAAAUUCUUUUAUUUAUAUAUCAGUUAAUCGAAUUAAAUUGUUUUAAUAAUCGAACCAAAUAUACACCCCAUACCGAGAACCACAAUGACCGCAACGGAAUAUUGAGCUGGUCAAUGCAAUUCAGUAUUCGACUAAUCAAAAAAUAAAAGAAUAAAAAUUUAGAAUUUCAAAUGCUCAAAUGGUCAAACACAAAUUGAAGUUGGGGAUUCGAAUCACCAGCGAAGAGAUAGUGGGGAAGGAUUAUUGAUCCUUCAAAAUAAACCUAAGCAAACAGAAAAAUUCAGCUCGAUCAAGUUGUAGAGUAGCUUAAGAAAUCGCGCAAUCACACUGUCAUUGACAUAUUCUUCUUCUUAAUUAUCUUAUGAUAUUUUCAAUUGAUACAACUAAUUCUACUUCCAUUUUGACAAUAGCAAAUAAGCAAGGUUUUUAAAUUUGUAUUCGACAAGAAGAAGAAUACACGUAUUGGAUACGGUAAACCAGAUUUAAGAUAACAUACACGGCUGCUGGCGACGGAAGGAGAUGGUGGCGCCGAGCGACAAGCAAAGAAGGAGAAACAGCUGGGGGCGGCGUGGUGGAAUCCGGCAGUGUUUACUGUAAAUAGCGGCAAAAAAAUAUUGAGUUUCAAAUGCUCAAACACAAACAUACAGUUGAAAUUAUGAUUCUUCUUCUUACUCGUCUCGAUCUACUUUCCGAAUCCAUCCUCUCUUUUCCUUAGCUUUUGCUUUCGUUUUUUGUCUUGAUAUAGGAUUCCAAAAGUCUUCUGUUACAAUGGAAAAUAUAAAAAGACUUGGUGGCUUAUCUUUCAAUUAUUAUAAAUUCAUUAUUCACCGCAGCGUGCACGUUAA